rnacentral:rRNA from 1 species
AGCCCAGAGCCUGAAUCAGUGUGUGUGUUAGUGGAAGCGUCUGGAAAGGCGCGCGAUACAGGGUGACAGCCCCGUACACAAAAAUGCACAUGCUGUGAGCUCGAUGAGUAGGGCGGGACACGUGGUAUCCUGUCUGAAUAUGGGGGGACCAUCCUCCAAGGCUAAAUACUCCUGACUGACCGAUAGUGAACCAGUACCGUGAGGGAAAGGCGAAAAGAACCCCGGCGAGGGGAGUGAAAAAGAACCUGAAACCGUGUACGUACAAGCAGUGGGAGCACGCUUAGGCGUGUGACUGCGUACCUUUUGUAUAAUGGGUCAGCGACUUAUAUUCUGUAGCAAGGUUAACCGAAUAGGGGAGCCGAAGGGAAACCGAGUCUUAACUGGGCGUUAAGUUGCAGGGUAUAGACCCGAAACCCGGUGAUCUAGCCAUGGGCAGGUUGAAGGUUGGGUAACACUAACUGGAGGACCGAACCGACUAAUGUUGAAAAAUUAGCGGAUGACUUGUGGCUGGGGGUGAAAGGCCAAUCAAACCGGGAGAUAGCUGGUUCUCCCCGAAAGCUAUUUAGGUAGCGCCUCGUGAAUUCAUCUCCGGGGGUAGAGCACUGUUUCGGCAAGGGGGUCAUCCCGACUUACCAACCCGAUGCAAACUGCGAAUACCGGAGAAUGUUAUCACGGGAGACACACGGCGGGUGCUAACGUCCGUCGUGAAGAGGGAAACAACCCAGACCGCCAGCUAAGGUCCCAAAGUCAUGGUUAAGUGGGAAACGAUGUGGGAAGGCCCAGACAGCCAGGAUGUUGGCUUAGAAGCAGCCAUCAUUUAAAGAAAGCGUAAUAGCUCACUGGUCGAGUCGGCCUGCGCGGAAGAUGUAACGGGGCUAAACCAUGCACCGAAGCUGCGGCAGCGACGCUGAUGCGUUGUUGGGUAGGGGAGCGUUCUGUAAGCCUGCGAAGGUGUGCUGUGAGGCAUGCUGGAGGUAUCAGAAGUGCGAAUGCUGACAUAAGUAACGAUAAAGCGGGUGAAAAGCCCGCUCGCCGGAAGACCAAGGGUUCCUGUCCAACGUUAAUCGGGGCAGGGUGAGUCGACCCCUAAGGCGAGGCCGAAAGGCGUAGUCGAUGGGAAACAGGUUAAUAUUCCUGUACUUGG